ACUCACAUAGUCCAGCGGCCAAGACACCUUGAAAUCAUACGUAUUUCUUUAGCAAAUUUCAUUGAGAUUCCAAGGAGACGGGAGUUCAAUUCUUCCUGUGAGUA